rnacentral:rRNA from 1 species
UACGUAGGGUGCGAGCGUUGUCCGGAAUUAUUGGGCGUAAAGAGCUCGUAGGCGGUGUGUCACGUCGGCCGUGAAAACCUGCAGCUUAACUGUGGGCGUGCGGUCGAUACGGGCAUCACUGGAGUUCGGCAGGGGAGACUGGAAUUCCUGGUGUAGCGGUGAAAUGCGCAGAUAUCAGGAGGAACACCGGUGGCGAAGGCGGGUCUCUGGGCCGAUACUGACACUGAGGAGCGAAAGCGUGGGGAGCGAACAGG